rnacentral:antisense_RNA from 1 species
UUUGGAGUCAGAUGUAAAUCCAUGACUUGACCACUUAUUGCUGUGAGACCCUGGACAGCUGGAUAUAGAGUUCUUGUUCUAGCAUCCGCCCUGGGAAUCCCCGGAACUGGGCCUCUUACCCACACCAUUGCCUGUAAUCCACCAACCUAGGAGGAGGUUACUUUCCAUCUAAAAAGUAAUAAUGUAAAAACCACAUGGGGGUGAAUGGUAUAGAGCCGAGAAGUGCCUGCUCCGGGGGCUGCAAGCUCGGGCUCCCGCAGCACAGCUGCUGCCCACUCUGCUGGAGGCCUCUUCUGGGUGCAUCUUCAUGAGUUACAAGAAGCACAUUACUUUGAGCCCAAAGGGAACGCUACACUUCCUUAGAAAUUAAGAGUGUGUGCUACACUGCUUUACCAGAGCAAGACCAAAAGCAGCUUCAAUUAUGGUACAACUGUGUGAAGACACAAUGCGAAACCACUCAAGAAUGCUCACUCAAAUGGAUUUUUACCAUGGAACUCGGAAACGGGACCCAGAAAGUUGUUUUCUGCAAGUGGAUGGAACAACACAAGCAAUCAGUAUCCUGAAACAGGCCCUG